GUAAGAAAAUUGAAUUGGGGAGUGUUUUUAGUUAAGAAGAUGGUUAAAUGUGAAGGAUAAUAGUAGAGUGAGUUGGUAAUAGAGUGGGAAUGAAAGGGUUUCCCGAAAAGCAAACCCCAUAAUUGUGUGUAGUGAAGAGCCCAAAAAGGGUGGGAAAAAUGAAGAGAGUGAUUGGUCAGUGGGAGAGAAAGACAGACACAGAAAGCGGGUCUCUUUCUUUUUGGAGUAUUGGGUCAGGUUCUUUUGGCAAUGCCAAAGUUGGUCACGCUCACUGAAAAUGCAGGAGGCAUGAAACCACUCCUUCAAAUAUCUUCCCCCACUCACAACUCCUGUGUUUCUUCUUCCUCCUCCUCCUCCUCCUCCUCUGUCUCUGCUCCUUCUCUCUCUGUCUCCCUCUUUCCUCCUCCUCAUGCCUGCCCUCAUCGAUCUUAACAGCGCCACCGAGGACCAUGAAACACCAUCAUCUCGCCCCUCCUCCGUCUGCCUCGAACUCUGGCACGCCUGCGCGGGUCCUAUGAUCUCCUUGCCCAAGAAAGGAACUCUUGUCGUGUACUUCCCUCAAGGACACUUGGAACAACACCUUCACGAUUUUCCGCUUCCUGCGUCUGCUAACAUCCCUUCCCAUCUCUUCUGUCGCGUUCUCGAUGUCAAGCUCCACGCCGAGGAAGGGAGCGAUGAAGUGUAUUGCCAGGUGGUGUUGGUUCCCAAAAGUGAGCAAGUGCAUCCGAAGUUGCUGGAAGGGGAAAUUGAUGCUGAUGGUGAGGAGGAGGAUGCUGAAGCUGUGAUGAAGUCCACCACACCCCACAUGUUCUGCAAGACUUUGACAGCUUCUGAUACUAGCACCCACGGUGGAUUUUCUGUGCCUCGUCGUGCUGCGGAAGAUUGCUUUCCACCUCUGGAAUAUAGUCAACAGAGACCUUCGCAGGAGCUUGUGGCGAAGGAUCUACAUGGUCAAGAAUGGAGGUUUCGACAUAUUUAUAGGGGGCAACCACGACGACACUUGCUUACUACUGGGUGGAGUGCAUUUGUGAACAAGAAGAAACUUGUAUCUGGAGAUGCUGUUCUGUUUCUUAGGGGCGAGGAUGGAGAACUAAGAUUGGGAAUUCGUAGGGCUGCUCAAUUAAAAGGUGGCAGUGCAAUUUCAACUUUUGCUGCUGAGCAAUUGAACCUUAGCAGUCUUCUUGAUGUGGUUAAUGCUUUAUCAGCAAGACGAGCCUUUAGUGUUCACUAUAAUCCAAGGGUCAGCUCAUCUGAGUUCAUCAUACCCGUUAAGAAAUUCUUGAGGAGCCUUGAUUAUUCUUAUUCAGUUGGAACAAGAUUCAGGAUGCGUUUUGAAACUGAAGAGGCUGCAGAGCGAAGAUUUACAGGAUUGAUUGUUGGAAUUACUGAUGUGGAUCCUGUUAGAUGGCCUGGAUCAAAAUGGAGAUGCCUAAUGGUAAGGUGGGAUGACCUAGAAGCCUCAAGGCAUAAUAGGGUUUCACCUUGGGAGAUUGAGCCAUCUGGUUCUGCAUCUACUGCAAAUAAAUUGAUAUCAGCUGGUUUGAAGAGGACCAAGAUUGGAUUGCCUUCAACCAAGCUAGAUUUUCAAGUUUCCGAUACAAUUGGAUCAUCAGACUUUGGCGAAUCACUAAGGUUCCAGAAGGUCUUGCAAGGUCAAGAAAUAUUGGGUGUUAAUACUACUUUUGAUAGUAUUAGUGGUCAGAAUCACCAGCUAUCCGAUUUGAGGAGAUGCUAUCCUGGCUCAAACUGUCCUAGGAUUGCUGCAACUGGAAAUAGCAUUGGAAUUCCACAAGUGAGUUCCAAUGUUUCCUGCAAUGGCAUAGGCUUUAGUGAAUCUUUCAUAUUCCAGAAGGUCUUGCAAGGUCAAGAAAUACUUCCAAGCCAACCAUAUGGAAGGGCCCUGUCUGUUGAUGAGGCUUGUGGAAAUGGUCGCUUUGGACCUUUUGAUGGUUACCACACACUGAGACCCAGCAAUGGAUGGUCUUCCCACUUGAGUAACAAUUCUUCACAUUUGCAUCCACCUGUUCCAUCUGGGCAAGUUUCAUCUCCAUCAUCUGUGUUAGUGUUCCAGCAAGCAGUCAAUCCAGUUUCAAACUCUGAUUAUAGCAGCAAAAUCAGUCUGAUGAUGGAAGGUAAAGUCCGUCAUCAACUUUCAUACACUUCUGAAGCUAAAGGGGGAAAAUUUGUAUCAGUCCCUUAUGAGCCUCUUCGUGGACUAGUUCAGAAAGGCACAAGUUCUUGUGGUGUCUCAAACUUGCAUAAUCAGUUAGAAAGUUCAUGUUCACACGAUUCUAUUUCAGCACUUCGGGCUAGUCAAGAGUUGGUUCCCACUUGUAAAAGUCGAUGCAGAGUCUUUGGCUUUUCAUUAACUGAGGGCACUCCUGUUGCAAGUACAGAAGUAGCUGGCGCCAACCCAUCUGCAGUCACAUGUUCUGGACCUUCCUUUGCAAGACACGGUGAAGAUGGUUUCCACCCAAUGCAUCCGCAUAGGAGCAAGGCAGUGGGAAGUUAUUGCACCAAAAAGCAUGAAAAUAUUACCAAAUUCUAAUUCACUGUAGCAAGAAAAUGAUGGAUGGUUAACCAAAAGAGUGAAGGAUGUAAUGCCGGGUGUGCUGCAGUAUUGACUUGAAAAUCAUGAUGUGUGCGAGUAGUGAUGCUGUCUUAAAGUAGCAGAAGAGAAUGUCCACUGUUGUACUAAUGUUGGAAUAUUAUAACUAUUGGCCUAAAUAGAUAAAAAAUCGGCUGUGACAAAAUCAAGUUCCUGUAUUAAUAUUUUAUGUACACUAUUAUUUACUUGUAAAACGAUGCACGUGUACUUAUCGUUAUGGCCAUGUGAGUGGCACUGCAUAACCCUUCAUCUGUCUUGAACUGGGCAUGAUUACUUGAGAGAACAGUUGCUCAUCAUGUUUCAUGACUUUAAUGUUGUCUCCAUAUUACGAACUUUCCCCUUUCUUGGUUA